rnacentral:rRNA from 1 species
UACAGAGGGGGCAAGCGUUGUUCGGAAUUACUGGGCGUAAAGGGCGCGUAGGCGGCCUGUUAAGUCGAACGUGAAAUCCCCGGGCUCAACCCGGGAACUGCGUCCGAUACUGGCAGGCUUGAAUUCGGGAGAGGGAUGUGGAAUUCCAGGUGUAGCGGUGAAAUGCGUAGAUAUUGGGAGGAACACCAGUGGCGAAGGCGGCUACCUGGACCGGUUCUGACGCUGAGGCGCGAAAGCGUGGGUAGCAAACAGG